rnacentral:misc_RNA from 1 species
AAAAAAAAAAAAAAAAAACUCAUCCUUGAGUUGCAAUGAACCAAAAAUACAGUGUAAACAGUUCUCAUACCAUUCUCCCCACUUAGAAUAAAUACUCCCUCAAAUUUUGAAGUGAAAGAGAAUCAAAACCUUUACUGGAAGAGUACCCCAUAUGGCUUUCUUGGAUGGAAUCAAUAAGAAGGACCUAAACAAAGUGGAUAUGAGGUGCUUCAUAUUUUCCUUUGUACUAUGAAAGUACUUGAGCAAAUAAAAUCAAUAAAAACCAUAGCAAUUAAAGAGUAAAGUCUUCAAUUCUCCAUGAUGUGAAAUUUAUCACUCUCCAAUAUUGUCUCCAUGGAUUGUUUUUCCUCAACUUCCAUUGAAAUCUCCACAACAUGAUAUUUAUAUUUCCCAGGACACAUUUCUCAAGCUUUUCAUCUUCAACCAUAGCAAAAGAAAAUUCAAUUAAAGUUUCAGGUUUCAAUUCUUUAAAUUUAGGCUCAUCCACUUUAAACUGCAUUGUUGAAUCUUGAAGCUCAUUUUUUUCUUCUUUUUGUUAUUUCACCAGCAAAAAAGGCUUUGGAUGGACCUCCUCUUGGCAAAAUUUUUGUUGAAAUAAAAUUUGCUCAUAAUCUAGAGGAAAAAAUUUUUAUUCUAACAAAUACUUCAUUAUGAACCAUGUACGGACUGACGCUUUCCCUUCUUGCUUUCUUUUAGAUUAUAGCCAUUCCCACCAAGCGGAAGUACCACCUUUCAAUCGACAAGCCACCAAUUGGACUCGUUGCUCAGGUGCUAUAUCCACAUGGUCAAAGAAUCUAUCUAUAUUCGCAAUCCAAUCUAAAAAUUCCUCUAUAUUGAGAUCCUCAUAGAAAUUAUGAAUAUUAAGAUAACCCAUGCUUCUUUUCGUUUCACCACCAUACCAUUGAUGCCUAUUGAACUUGAUUGUUUCAUAGUCAUCUUCCUCCUCUGAAUCAACAUAGUAGACAUAUUGUCUACGUGCAAAAAUUGGUUGAUAAAUAGGAUAACCACGAGCUACACCAUCUCCUGACCUUCUUUUGUCAACCCAAUUUUGGAUUGUUUUAGUUCCCAAAGCACCAAGACAAUCUAUAAUUUCUUUGAGGUGUCUCUUGAUACGCUCGAAUCUGAGAUCUAUUUAUCGCUCCGGACGUUGCUCUCAUCGUUGCAACGUUUCGUCCCUAUGGUAAAGGGCUCUAGU